GCGGACGGGUGAGUAACGCGUAGGAAUCUACCUUAUUGUGGGGGAUAACUCAGGGAAACUUGAGCUAAUACCGCAUAGUCUCUAAGGAGUAAAGCUGGGGAUCUUUUUAAGACCUGGUGCAAUAAGAUGAGCCUGCGUCAGAUUAGCUUGUUGGUGGGGUAAAGGCCUACCAAGGCGACGAUCUGUAGCUGGUUUGAGAGAACGAUCAGCCACACUGGGACUGAGACACGGCCCAGACUCCUACGGGAGGCAGCAGUGGGGAAUAUUGGACAAUGGGCGCAAGCCUGAUCCAGCAAUGCCGCGUGUGCGAUGAAGGCCUUCGGGUUGUAAAGCACUUUCAGUAGUGAGGAAGAAUACGGUAUUAAUACCACCAGUAUUUUGACGUU
rnacentral:rRNA from 1 species